rnacentral:lncRNA from 1 species
CAUGGUUGGGGUAACUGAUACCAAUUAUCUCCUACUACACCUCCCAAUGUGGUGCCACUUGUCAAACCAAUAGAUCUUAUCUUAUUUAUUAGGUUGAUAACCCCAAUAUCACUCAUCAGAUUGGUAAUCAUUCUUCCCGUCAUAUCUCUACUAGCCUACUUUAUAUCAUCAUUUCAUGUAUUUGGCUUCUAGGAGUAUUCUCACUUUUUCCUCUA